UGGGGAAUAUUGCACAAUGGGGGAAACCCUGAUGCAGCGACGCCGCGUGAGCGAAGAAGGUUUUCGAAUCGUAAAGCUCUGUCCUAUGAGAAGAUAAUGACGGUAUCAUAGGAGGAAGCCCCGGAUAAAUACGUGCCAGCAGCCGCGGUAAUACGUAUGGGGCGAGCGUUGUCCGGAAUUAUUGGGCGUAAAGGGUACGUAGGCGGUCUAUUAAGUCAGGUGUGAAAGCGUGAGGCUUAACCUCAUUAAGCACUUGAAACUGAUAGACUUGAGUGAAGGAGAGGAAAGUGGAAUUCCUAGUGUAGCGGUGAAAUGCGUAGAUAUUAGGAGGAAUACCGGUGGCGAAGGCGACUUUCUGGACUUUUACUGACGCUCAGGUACGAAAGCGUGGGGAGCAAACAGG
rnacentral:rRNA from 1 species